ensembl:lncRNA
CGCACACCUUUAAUCCAAGUAGUCGGGAGACAAAGGGAAGUAGAUCUCUACAAGUUCAAGGCCAGCCUGGUCUACAAAGGGAAUUCCAGGACAGCCAGGGCUACACAGAGAAACCCUGUCUUGGAAAAAAAAAAAGAAAGAAAGAAAAUGAAACGUAAACCCAAUGAACCCAAACCCUGCCAGACAACCUAACAUUUGCGUCUCUGUUGAAAUCCUAGCUUAUAGAACUUCGGUAUUUAAUUUUGAGUUGAGCGACUUUGUGAAUUUAUGACUGUUAAAAUUUGAAGGGUAUAGAGGAAGUGGGGAAGUGGCUUGUAAACUAUAUUUCUUCAGUUUGUAAAUGCGGUUACAAAUUUGCUCCAAAGCCUCAGGCUGUGUCAGUGUAGUAGUUUUUUUCCCUCCAUAGAACAUGUCUAUUGUUUCUGUUGUAUUUAUUGCAUAAACUUGCACUUGAUAUUCCCUUGUUAGUUUUCUAGUGUCUGUAGGCUUUAUAUUGACGUCUUUCGUUUAUGAUAGAAUUUGCUCUCUCUCUCUCUUUCUGUCUGUCUUCAACAUAAUAGCUUUUGCAAUAGUCAUUCUUUAAUGAUGUCCACUUGUAUCUACACAGAUUGUCCGUACUAUCUUAGACUCUGGGAACCCCAUAUUCUUCUGAAGGCUCCAAACCACUUUCUGGAUUAUAUUGCAACCAGCAUGCAGGUCAAACAGCCAUUGAUCCUGAGAGUGUCGGGGUCCCGUCCUUUGCGGUUAUGCUGUGGGGCUAACUAUGUACAUGCCUGGAGUUUCUUGUUGAUGCUGUUUCCAGACCUGAGUGAAAACAAACGACAUUAUAGCAUUUGAAGUAAAUCCUUAUUGCUGAAGAUUGACACAUACUUUGGACAAAGAACUUGCAUCUGACCUGGAAGCCUCUAUCUUAAGGACUAGCUCUCAGUGCUAGAAGGUGCCAUGCAAACUGCCAACUCCUCAACUGUGACUCUCAGACAACAAUGACCAGCAUGACAAGAUAUUCCCAGAGGUGCAAUAUCUUGUAUCUUGGUGUUAGCCAACAGCUGUCUAGCUGGACUUGCUCAAUAGAAGGGAACUCAUUCCUGAUGCUGCAAAUUUAGCCAAAUAACCACAACUGGGGAGGCCAUGGAACCUAGAGGAGAAACUACUACUGCCAGUUUUCUAAGCCAAUGUAAUUUCUCACUGCAUUCUAAAUCCUUAUCCUCACAGAUAAAGGUGAUUGUCACCGCUUGUCUUAGUCAAUGUUCUAUUGCUGUGAAUAGAUACCAUGAACAUAGCAGCUCUUAUUUAACUGGAAAUAACAGGAAAACAUUUAACUGGGGCCGGCUUGCAGUUUCAGAGGUUUAGUCCAUUGUCAACAUGUCCGGGAGAAUGGCAGCAUGCAGGCAGACACGGUGCGGGAGAAGGAACUGAGAGUUCUGCAUCUGGAUCUGUAGGCAGCAGGUUGAAUGAGACCCUGGGCUUGGCUUGAGAUUCUGAAACCCUAAAGCCCACUCCCAAGGACACACUUCCUCUAACAAAGUCAUACCUACUCCAAUAAGGCCAUACCUUUUAAUCCUUCUCAAGUAGCACAACCCCGUAAUGAUCAAGCAUUCAAAUAUACAAGCCUAUGGGGCCAUUCCUAUUCAAACCACCACACCCCCUUUGCUUCUCCUUGCAGCAUACAGAGACCAUUACAGAAAUCCACAACUGUUCAAAAUACAGAGAACAAGUGACUGGGGCAUGCCCAACCCCAACUGAUAUAUUUACAACACAACCCCUACACCUAAUGCUCAGGGAACAUCAUGGAAUAGAAGGCAGAAGCAUUGUAAGAGUCACAGGACCAGGAUGUCUGCUGUGGGAGUGCGUCCUCUAUGAAUGACAGGGAAGUGAUACCCAUGAAAUCACAACACUAUUCCUACCUAAAGAUCUGAACAGUGACAACACCGGUUGAUGCACCAGUGUGGGUGAGGGAAAUCGUAUAAGGCCCUACCCUUAGCCAAGAGCUCCAGGCAAUUAAUGACUGCCGAGAGAGGCAAAACCUGAUUUACUCAGGGGAGAGCCUCCAAUUUUCCAAUAUUAAGUGGUCAUCCCUAAAAACAUAUAUAGGAGCAACACUAGGCAGACUCAGCAGGUAUGUGUGUGUGUGUGUGUGUGUGUCUAUCUAACAAUGCUAAUUAAAGAAAAAGAAGCCAUGAAUUUGAGAGGGAGUGGGAAGACACAGGAGGAGAUGGAAGGAGAAGGGGAGAGGGAAUAAUAUAAAUUCAGCAUUCAUGAGAAAUUUUUAAAAAAAUAUUGACUCCAUAAAGACUGGGUAGCCCUACUGAGAGAGACUAGAACCCAAGGGUCAUC